rnacentral:tRNA from 2 species
UGCAUUUUGGUGUAUGGAGCACGUGAAUUUUUGAUAUUCUUGGUAGUAGUUUGACUCUACUUUAUGCAA